GCUGGGCAUGGUGGUGGGCGCCUGUAAUCCCAGCUACUCGGGAGGCUGAGGCAGGAGAAUCCCUUGAACCCAGUGGCAGAGGUUGCAGUGAGCCGAGAUUGCGCCGCUGCACUCCAGCCUGGCUGCCCGACAAGUGAAACUCCACCUCAAAAAAAAAGAACAAGAUCAAGAAUUCCUUUUUUUUUUUUUUUUUAAUUACUAAUCCGCUUUUCUUAAAAAUUCUUUUUUUUUUUUUUUUUUUUCAAGAGAGUCUCGUUUUGUCACCCAGGCUGGAGUACAGUGGCACAAUCUCAGCUCACUGCAACCUCUGCCACUGGGUUCAAGGGAUUCUCCUGCCUCAG
rnacentral:SRP_RNA from 1 species